CUACGGGGCGCUCCAGUGAGGAAUAUUGCACAAUGGGGGGAACCCUGAUGCAGCAACGCCGCGUGGAGGAUGACGCAUUUCGGUGUGUAAACUCCUUUUAUAUGUCAAGAAAAUGACGGUAGCAUAUGAAUAAGCACCGGCUAACUCCGUGCCAGCGGCCGCGAUAAUACGGAGGGUGCAAGCGUUACUCGGAAUCACUGGGCGUAAAGGACGCGUAGGCGGGUUGGAAAGUCAGGUGUGAAAUCCUACAGCUUAACUGUAGAACUGCACUUGAAACUUCUAAUCUAGAGUAUGGGAGGGGGAGAUGGAAUUAGUGGUGUAGGGGUAAAAUCCGUAGAUAUCACUAGGAAUACCUAAAGCGAAGGCGAUCUCCUGGAACAUUACUGACGCUAAGGCGUGAAAGCGUGGGGAGCAAACAGGAUUAGAUACCCUUGUAGUC
rnacentral:rRNA from 1 species